rnacentral:lncRNA from 1 species
CCAAAUGCUACAAAUUGUCUUGUUUCAAGCUGACGGUCGAACAGAGUGACGCUAAUGACUUUCGGGCUAAAUUUGACGAAAUUUGUGUCUGUUCUUUUCAGAAACAGCUUGACGUAUUAGUGAAAAGUUAACGGUGUUAGAGAGCACAAAUAUUAAAGAGGUAGACGACAAAAAUUUAGCUGAUAUAGAGAAUUGUAAGGCAUUGAAUAUUGAAAAUGCUGCAUCGUGACUUCCGCUGAAUGCUCUGAGAAUAUUGCAAAGGCUAGGAGACGUGACAUGUAUUUCAUGAAAACCAAAUUUCCCUAAACGUGGUGUCUUUGGGUGCAUCUCCAGUGAGGGUGACGUCACGCUACCCCACAUCUUUGAACAAGGUGUAAAUUGCCUCUCCUCAGAUGCAUUAUCAAGAUGUCAUGUGCGAGGGACUCAUACGAGAAUCAAAAAAUCCACAAUCAAAAUGAAAUAUUAUACAGUUUCAAGAGACCAUCAGAUUUGUGACAGCUGAAGAAAUAACGGACUGCAGAAGCUGCCGGUUGGCACGGUUUUCAUCUUGGAGGGUGAGUGGUGAAAAAGCUGCAAUUAAGGUCGUUUUAUGCUAUUAAUGGAAGAGAAAGUUCGAGUGGUAAAAGAAAUUGACGAAAUGGAAGCUCUUAGCAAGCGUGGCACAAAAUUGGUUCAGACAUUUUAAGACUGUGGCACCAGCCUUGAUGACAAACGGAGGUCAGUGAGACCUUCCGUUGUGGAAAGUAAGGCCUUGCUUGAAGUAGUCGAACAACCGCCAAGCUCAAGCACUUGCACAUUGAUGGCAGAACUUCGUCAUUCACAAAGUACCAUCAGUUGAUACCCCCAUCAUCUCGGUCUAGCGAACAGAAGUCCUCGACAAGCUUCUCUUGAACUGGUCAAUAACCAAGCUCAACGAUGUAUGAACAUUGAAGAUGUCAAUACUGGCUGAUAAUCUAGAAAUUCUAAGUGAAAUAUUUCUAACUAAAUUCCUUGUAAUAGCCUUUGGAUGAUUAUUGAUGGAGCUAAUAUAAUUUAAAUUAUUUGAGGGUUUAUGGUAUAGGAAAUAUGAAUCAUUAUUUAAGUUAUGGGCAAUAUCCAAAUAGUUGGCUUUAGUUAUAUCAUCGACGAAAACAAUGCUUAAGCCGAUGUUACGGAAAACUUCAACCAACCUACUUUUAACCCUUUAUAAUAUUUGGCUAGAACACUUUUGAAGGGAGACAAUCGACACGAUACAGACCUCCAUUGAUGUUUGGGAAUUGGUCAACCAUCUCGUAAAGGAUAUAUGUAUCGACCAAAUCAGCCAAUUGUGCUGAGUCAGAACUUCUCAUCGUGAAAUCAAAACUGUCAGGCGUAUCGUUACCCACCCACAGCUUGCUUUCAAAUUUAAUGAUUGAUUUUCUGGCGGCUAGCACUACAUUAAUUUCAUCCCUGGUGAAACCUGCUUUGUUGUGUGCGAACCAGAGUGCCUUGUUGAGUACAAUUGGGUUUAUAGAGAAACAGUAACUAGAAAUGUCGAACUGGACAUACGCGGUAAUCAUAUUCUGUUAAAAUGUCUAUUGAUGUCAUUUGUUUCUCUUUUUUCCAUUGUUUUACAUCGUUUUAUUCCCUCUGGAAUAAUACCAAUGUUUUCUUCGAAA